rnacentral:rRNA from 1 species
AGCGAACGCUGGCGGUAGGCCUAACACAUGCAAGUCGAACGGAAGCACAGUAAGUGCUUGCGCUUACGGGUGGCGAGUGGCGGAAGGGUGAGGUAUAUAUCGGAAUCUACUUUUUCGUGGGGGAUAACGUAGGGAAAGCUACGCUAAUACAGCAUAUGUCGUACGGGUGAAAGCAGGGGAUCUUUGGACCUUGUGCGUUUGGAUGAGCCGCUGUCGGACUAGCUAGUUGGGGGGGUAAAGGCCUACCAUGGGGGAGAUCCGUAGCUGGUCUGAGAGGAUGGUCAGCCACACUGGAACUGGAACACGGUCCAGACUCCUACGGGAGGGAGCAGUCGGGAAUAUUGGACAGUGGGCGCAAGCCUGAACCAGCCAUACCGCGUGAGAGCAGGAGGCCUUCAGGUUGUAAAGCCGUUUUGUUGGGAAAGAAAAGCAGCAGCUUAAUACCCCGCUGUUCUGACGGUACCCAGAGAAUAAGCACCGGCUAACUUCGUG